AACGAACGCUGGCGGCAUGCCUAACACAUGCAAGUCGAACGAGACCUUCGGGUCUAGUGGCGCACGGCUGCGUAACGCGUGGGAACCUUCCCUUAGGUUCGGCAUAACUCCCCGAAAGGGGUGCUAACACCGGAUAAUGUCUUCGGACCAAAGAUUUAUCGCCUUUGGUUGGGCCCUCGUUGGAUUCGGUGGUUGGUAGGGUAAGAGCCUACCAAGGCGACGAUCCAUAGCUGGUCAGAGAGGAUGGUCAGCGACACUGGGACUGAGACACGGCCCAGACUCCUACGGGAGGCAGCAGUGGGGAAUAGUGGACAAUGGGCGGAAGGAUGAUCCAGCAAUGCCGCGUGAGUGAUGAAGGCAUUAGGGUUGUAAAGCUCUUUUACCCGGGAUGAUAAUGACAGUACCGGGAGAAUAAGCUCCGGCUAACUCCGUG
rnacentral:rRNA from 1 species